rnacentral:lncRNA from 13 species
UCCCCUCCCUCUCUCCCACCCUUCCCUCCCCACUCUUGGACCCCCACUUCCCUCUCUCCUCCGUUUUUAAAGGCGUAUUUUAUGCUGCCAGAGAGAGCGGCGCGACAGUGAGAGAGUGAGAGACGAUCCUAUCUGCCUCAUAGCCUUUCGCAAGGAUUCGUGAGGAAGCGCUAGCCGGGACUGAGCUGGACUGGACCGUGGCAUUCCUUGGAGGAGGAGGAGGAGGAGGAGGGAGAGCCGUGGAUAUGGAGGACGGUGGGACACGGCACCUCGGCCAUGAGUGCAGGGUGGACAUGAUGGAAGAGGAGGGGGAGCCGCUGACCGGAGGAGAUGGACUGACCGGAGCUGGUGUCAUCCUGAUUCCCAAGCUGCCCCAUGUGGAGUUCAGCCUGGGUAAGUGUCUGUUCUUCUCUCUCUGUUCUUCUUUUUCUUCUUCUUCUUCUCUAUGUCCUUCUCACUCUGUUCUUCUCUCCCUCUCUGUUCUUCUUCUCCCUGGUCUUCUUCUCUCUGUUCUUCUUUUCUCUCUGUUCUUCUUCUCUCUCUGUGAUUCUCAUCUUAUUCCAUGCCACAGGGUUCCAAUUUCCCCAUGUAGUCAGAGCUUAGAUAGCCAGACACAUCCUAUUAUCGACAUGACGCCGCUAUGAGACCGGUCAAACAUACACAUGUAUGCACGUGCACAGACGGACGGACGGACGGACGGACAAUAGAUCAAAGACUAGACUUACUUUUUCCUGACUGUCUCACAGUAGAGUGGUUCUGGUUCUUCUUCCUGACUGUCUCACAGUAGAGUGGUUCUGGUUCUUCUUCCUGACUGUCUCACAGUAGAGUGGUUCUGGUUCUUCCUGACUGUCUUACAGUAGAGUGGUUCUGGUUCUUCCUGACUGUCUUACAGUAGAGUGGUUCUGGUUCUUCCUGACUGUCUUACAGUAGAGUGGUUCUGGUUCUUCCUGACUGUCUUACAGUAGAGUGGUUCUGGUUCUUCUUCCUGACUGUCUUACAGUAGAGUGGUUCUGGUUCUUCCAUACUGUCUCACAG